rnacentral:rRNA from 1 species
UGGGGAAUAUUGGACAAUGGGGGCAACCCUGAUCCAGCAAUGCCGCGUGUGUGAAGAAGGCCUGCGGGUUGUAAAGCACUUUCAGUAGAGACGAAAAGCCUAAGGUUAAUACCCUUGGGUCUUGACUUAACCUACAGAAGAAGCACCGGCUAACUCCGUGCCAGCAGCCGCGGUAACACGGAGGGUGCGAGCGUUAAUCGGAAUUACUGGGCGUAAAGCGCGCGUAGGCGGUUUGGUCAGUCGGAUGUGAAAGCCCCGGGCUUAACCUGGGAAUUGCAUUCGAUACUGCCUGACUAGAGUAUGGGAGAGGGAAGUGGAAUUUCCGGUGUAGCGGUGAAAUGCGUAGAUAUCGGAAGGAACACCAGUGGCGAAGGCGACUUCCUGGCCCAAUACUGACGCUCAGGUGCGAAAGCGUGGGGAGCAAACAGGAUUAGAUACCCCGGUAGUCC